CUCUUAUUUACUCCAUAUAAGUUAUAUGCGGUAGUUACUGCAUCUGUAUAAAUUUUGAUUUCUGGGUGUUCUACAUAUUAUAGAAUGAAUUAAUUUGGGCUGUAAUACUGUUAGCCACUGCAUCUAUACCUUUCACAUCCUUCUUGCUGUCUUUUAUGGCUGCUCAGUUACUUCUCCAAAGAGAAUUUUAGGAGCAAAAACUGUGUUCACUGGUAAUACAGUAUCUCCAGGACAAAAAUCCCUGAAAGGACACAUAGAAAGAGGGGAAGUGCAAUUAUUCUGUUUAAGUGACUACAUGAUACAGUAAAUAGCAAGUCUUCCUUUAGCAGGAAGAGAAGAAGGAAUCACAGUCAGUCUCUGCAAGAGAUCACCACCAUCUUUGUGACUUAUGUGAAAAAGAAUAUCAAGGAGGAAGCCUUUGUAGAAGAGUGUUCCAUGUGAAGCUUUCCUGACAUAGGACAAAAAAAGACCUAUAUGCCAUACAGACUGGAAGCAUUACAACAGGAACUUUGCUCUACCUUUGACUUCAAGAACAGUGUGCUCAGUUUAUCUGAGAGGACAUAAAGACAAGACUGUCAUCCCCACCCAAGACCUAUAUGUGCACACAGCUCAUCCUGGUCUAUGUGAAGAGGAGUGAAAAAGACGGCUUGAAAAAGCUGUGA
ensembl:lncRNA